GGGCCGUUAGCUCAAUCGGCAGAGCAGGACACUCUUAAUGUCAAGGUUACAGGUUCGAUUCCUGUACGGCCCA
rnacentral:tRNA from 1 species